GCGAAGGCCCGCGGCGGGUGUUGAUGCGAUGUGAUUUCUGCCCAGUGCUCUGAAUGUCAAAGUGAAGAAAUUCAAUGAAGCGCGGGUAAACGGCAGGAGUAACUAUGACUCUCUUAAGCUUGACUCUAGUCUGGCACGGUGAAGAGACGUGAGAGGUGUAGAAUAAGUGGGAGGCCCCCGGCGCCCCCCGGUGUCCCCGCGAGGGGUCCAGGGCGGGGUCUGCCGGCCCUGCGGGCCGCCGGUGAAAUACCACUACUCUGAUCGUUUUUUCACUGACCCGGUGAGGCGGGGGGGCGAGCCCUGAGGGGCUCUCGCUUCUGGCGCCAAGCGCCCGGCCGCACGC
rnacentral:lncRNA from 1 species